GUGGAGAGAACCCUAAAGUGAAGAACAACCUCUGAUACCUCCUGUGCCAGUGAACUGAAAGUCAGGAGUAAGGUAGCACACACUAGUCACAGGGCUGAGAGCCCCUGUGACGGGCCACACAUACGCAAGUGUGUGCACACUGACAAUGCAUGCUGCCUAUCAUCCGCCCUGUACCCGACCGACCACCAUCCACUUAGAACUGUCAAAGUCUCACAAUGCCUGUGUAGAGCAGGUAUAAAAUCUUAGCUGCCGCUGUCACCCAGUUUCAGCUGAUCUGGGUCAAGGCUGCUGGAUGGAAGUGGAGUGCAGCCAUAACCUCCUGCGAGAUGCGAUCCUAUUCUGUGCCCAUGCUGAACUCCAUAUUUCAACAUGAAUUGUCUGAGGAGAGAAAGUGCUACAUCAAUUCAAGGGUCUAAAAUAGCCCGGUUCCCUUCUGGCCCUCGGGAUGAGCAGAGGUGAGGAAGAAACCACUCAUUGUCUGGGAGCUGGGAAAGGCGAG
rnacentral:lncRNA from 1 species